GACGAACGCUGGCGGCGUGCUUAACACAUGCAAGUCGAACGGAAAGGUCCUGCUUGCAGGGUACUCGAGUGGCGAACGGGUGAGUAACACGUGGAUGAUCUGACUUGCACUUCGGGAUAAGCCCGGGUAACUGGGUCUAAUACCGGACAGGAGCCAUAUUUAGUGUGAUUGUUGGAAAGUUUUUUCGGUGUAGGAUGAGCUCGCGGCCUAUCAGCUUGUUGGUGGGGUAAGGGCCUACCAAGGCGGCGACGGGGAGCCGGCGUUGGUGGGUGGACGGCCACAGUGAGACUGGGACUGAGCCAAGACCCAGACGGGAGCGGGAGGUGGGAAUUAGGGCUAAAGGGGAGCAGGCCGGAGGCUGCGCCGCCGAGGGCGGGAGAGUGACCUAGGGGUUGGGAUCGCAUUGCGCUAUGAACCAGGCUGUUUAUGACAGUACCGAGAGAAGAAGCACCGGCUAACUCCGUG
rnacentral:rRNA from 1 species